rnacentral:misc_RNA from 1 species
GACAAGCAUAUGACUACUGGCAGGAUCAACCAGGUAGCACGUCCUCUUUGACAUCCAGCGUCGGUAGUUGCCCACCCAUCCACUAGCGUGGCAAGGCAGAGCCAACUACCGAGCUAGUUGUCGCAAUUGAGCGGGCCUAGCUCGUCCUACUUGUAUGAGGAUCGGCACAGUAUGUUGCGUAAUCCUACCACUAACUGUGGAGAGGUAGAGGCAACACAUGUUCCGGUUGUUCUCAACUUCGGAGAGCGUCUCUUCCUACUUGUAUGAGGAUCGGCACAGUAUGUUGCGUAAUCCUACCACUAACUGUGGAGAGGUAGAGGCAACACAUGUUCCGGUUGUUCUCAACUUCGGAGAGCGUCCCGUCCUACUUGUAUGAGGAUCGGCACAGUAUGUUGCGUAAUCCUACCACUAACUGUGGAGAGGUAGAGGCAACACAUGUUCCGGUUGUUCUCAAAUUCGGAGAGCAUUAUUAGGGUCAGGCCGAGGCAACCAGAAAGGGCCACGAGCCUAUAUCAUAAGCAACAUCCAAAACCAACAGCGAGAGCGAGGCUGCCUUGAUAGCACCAGGCACAAAAACAUGCCGGACCAAGAGGAAACGCCGCAAGGGCCAUAAGGCCGUAGUAGCACACCCAAAGGCAUCCACCGCGAGUCAACUUUGUAUGAAGCACCACUGCCCGUAAGUCGGGUAACAUCACGCAAGCACCCGAAAGCAAACUGUAAGAUAUCCCACACGAAUGAGAAGACACGGCGCCAAUAGUCGGCCGCACAAAGACGGGGGAACUACCAGCAGACACGGGUCCAAAACAGCUCAUGCGCUCGCGUAGCCA